rnacentral:rRNA from 1 species
AUUGAACGCUGGCGGAAUGCUUUACACAUGCAAGUCGAACGGCAGCACGGACCUCGGUCUGGUGGCGAGUGGCGAACGGGUGAGUAAUGUAUCGGAACGUGCCCAGUCGUGGGGGAUAACGUAGUGAAAAUUACGCUAAUACCGCAUACGAUCUAUGGAUGAAAGCGGGGGAUGGCAAGACCUCGAGCGAUUGGAGCGGCCGAUAUCAGAUUAGGUAGUUGGUGGGGUAAAGGCCCAACAAGCAAACGACCUGUAGAUGGUCGGACAGGACGACCAGCCGAACGGGAACCGAGACACGGUCCAGACUCCUAGGGGAGGAAGCAGUGGGGAAUUUUGGACAAUGAGCGAAAGCCUGAUCCAGCCACUCCGCGUGCAGGAUGAAGGCCCUCGGGUUGUAAACUGCUUUUGUACAGAACGAAAAGGUUUCUACUAAUACUAGGAGCUCAUGACGGUACUGUAAGAAUAAGCACCGGCUAACUACGUGCCAGCAGCCGCAGUAA